UACGUAGGGUGCGAGCGUUAAUCGGAAUUACUGGGCGUAAAGCGUGCGCAGGCGGUUUUGUAAGCCAGAUGUGAAAUCCCCGGGCUUAACCUGGGAAUGGCAUUUGGGACUGCAAGGCUGGAGUUUGGCAGAGGAGACUGGAAUUCCUGGUGUAGCAGUGAAAUGCGUAGAUAUCAGGAGGAAUACCGAUGGCGAAGGCAGGUCUCUGGACAACACCUGACGCUGAGGCACGAAAGCCAGGGGAGCAAACGGG
rnacentral:rRNA from 1 species